CUACGGGCGGCUCCAGUGGGGAAUAUUGGACAAUGGGGGAAACCCUGAUCCAGCAAUGCCGCGUGUGUGAAGAAGGCCUGCGGGUUGUAAAGCACUUUCGGUUGGGAGGACUGCUUCUAGCACUAAUAUUGUUGGAAGUUGACGUUACCUUCAGAAGAAGCACCGGCUAACUCCGUGCCAGCAGCCACGGUAAUACGGAGGGUGCAAGCGUUAAUCGGAAUUACUGGGCGUAAAGCGCGGGUAGGCGGCUAGAUCAGUCGGGUGUGAAAGCCCCGGGCUUAACCUGGGAACUGCAUCCGAUAAUGUCUAGCUUGAGUACAGGAGAGGAGAGUGGAAUUCCACAUGUAGCGGUGAAAUGCGUAGAUAUGUGGAGGAACACCAAUGGCGAAGGCAGCUCUCUGGCCUGAUACUGACGCUGAGGUGCGAAAGCGUGGGGAGCAAACAGGAUUAGAUACCCGUGUAGUC
rnacentral:rRNA from 1 species